GGAAAUAGAAACAAAAAUUGACCAGGAUAGGAAUUUCAUCUGAUCAAUACCAUUCAUUCAUUUUGGGUGAUGAAACGUACAUUUCAUCAAUCCCCUAAAUUCAAUGGUUUUGAUCCAAUAAAAUUUGCUUUAUUUUUCACUUUCUCCACAUUUUCUUUUUUAGCUUCCUUUUUUUUUUAAUUUAUGUGUUUAUUUAUUGAAUACUUUUCAUCACUUAAUCAAUUGUUUUUCUCUUUUUGUUUCCUAUUUAUUUUUAUUU
rnacentral:lncRNA from 1 species